UGCAAGUCGAACGAUGAAGGAGUCUUCGGACUGCGGAAGAGUGGCGAACGGGUGAGGAACACGUAAGAAUCUGCCCCUCGGUCGGGGACAACUCUUGGAAACGAGAGCUAAUACCCGAUACGCUGUGGAGUGAAAGAAUUUCGCCGAGGGAUGACCUUGCGUCUGAUUAGCUAGUUGGUGUGGUAACUGCACACCAAGGCGACGAUCAGUAGCUGGUCUGAGAGGAUGGACAGCCACAUUGGAACUGAGACACGGUCCAAACUCC
rnacentral:rRNA from 2 species